UCGCUCGGGCGGGGAGAAUAACGGCGUUUAAACUGGGUUCAGUCUUCCAAACCUCGAGGAUGUGAUGUUUUCCUGUUGGUUUUUAUUUAUUUAUUUCUUUUUUUUUUAAGAAAAAGGAUUCGACUUCCUAGUCUGGUCCCCGAGGGGGAAAAAUCCGCUGUCGCUCAAGCCAAUCAGUCAUGUGGUAAUUCGAUAAUUAGAGGCAAAAAAAAAAAAAAUCUUUUUUUUUUUUUUUUCCCCUAAAGGCGACCUUUUUCCAGGACAGUUUUCCCCAUGUAUAGGCGCAGCAGCAAACGUGCAAGCCUUUCACAUCACGUGAGGAUCAAGGGCUCAAUUGGUUGUCGUGAGAACAAAAAUGGUGACAAGCGUAUCAAGAAAAUACUGAUCUGGUCUUUAAAAAAAAAAAAAAAAAAAGCUGAAGAUCUAGGAUCUCGGAAGUUCGCAAGGAGUGAAAUGUAAUGAGCACAAGAGCAAAGCAGAUGUUUUAAAGAAACACCUUAUAAACCUUUCCUCAACUUAUCUCCAAUUUGUCGGCUUUCCCAAGGGGCCAGGGACGGGGGCACCUUGGGGACGAGGAGGGCACCUCCGCUGCUUGGGUUUUAGGGACCCCCCUCAUGUCUUAAACAAAGAAAAACAUUUUGUUAGUUCCCAAGCCAGGUCCUGUAAUAAACACACCAUUGUUACUAUUUGUGGGUUUGUUUGGGUUGGGUGGGGCUUCCCCCCCACACACACCCCUUCUCUUAAUGGUGUUUUUGCUGCUUGCUUUUUUCAGGAGGUGGAAAAGGGUCAUUAUAACCAUUACAUGUAAUGGGUGACUAUCCCCCUGUUCAGUAUUAAAUUGGUGGGCGCUAGCAUGUGACAAGAGCCAGGAAUCGGCUUGCUCUGCUCUUGCCCCAUUUUCCUGGCUCGGUUUGGAAAAGGGUCUUGCCCAUCUAGGAUAGGAAAGGGAGGAAGUGAGGUGAGUAGAGCAUGGAACAGAUCAGGAUAUGUAACUGUGUCACUUUUAUUCUCCUUGGGUUAGAGCCCAAAAGGUAAUUUAUUCUAAGUUACCCCGAGUGCCCAGUCAAGCUUAAUUUGUGUGAAGAAGUUACAAAUGCUUCACCCUCCACUGAAUAAAAUUCACCCUUCUUGGGUUGUUGUUCUCAAUGCAAAAGCCAAACCCUGUAGAACUAGUUCCUCAUUUCAAUGCAUAAAAGUCGCACAUUCCCCUGCAUGAAGUCCCCGCUAAGUGCUAUAUAGAGACACACCACGCAACCGUACUUACGGUCUGUAUUGGAUCGAGUUGACCUUUUCCUUCUAACUGCAUUGAAUGUGUUUGGUUGCAGCCGCUUUAUUUUGGAAAUUACAGUCUCUUCAACCAAUUUAUUAUUAAAGAAGAUGGACCAUCAAAUGUCACAGACCGUCCUGUGUAUUUUUUAUAAAAGCAAAAA